AGAAAGAAAAGAAGAAGAAAAAAUGAAAAAAAGUCCCAAUUCAAUGGAAUCUGUUGUUUAGUUUUUGGUGUGUGUGUGUGUGU
rnacentral:ribozyme from 1 species